AUGGAAUUGAACAUUUUGGCUCCAAUCCAGGACUUUACAGCAUUACGGACUGGAAGAUGCUUCCUCUGGCCUCCUUUGAGAUAUGUCUUUUGGGAGACAUUUCCUUCAACCAGCCAGGACUAGACUGAGAACUUUUAAGCAGAGAACCAUUUCAUCCAUCCCUAGACUGUCAAAUAACCUGUCAGAAGAUAUUU
rnacentral:lncRNA from 11 species